rnacentral:rRNA from 1 species
UACAGAGGUCUCAAGCGUUGUUCGGAUUCAUUGGGCGUAAAGGGUGCGUAGGUGGCGGGGUAAGUCUGGUGUGAAAUCUCGGGGCUCAACCCCGAAACUGCACUGGAUACUGCCUUGCUUGAGUACUGGAGAGGAGAUUGGAAUUUACGGUGUAGCAGUGAAAUGCGUAGAUAUUAGGAAGAACACCAGUGGCGAAGGCGCUCUACUGGGCCAUUACUGACGCUGAUGGACGAAAGCUAGGGGAGCGAAAGGG